UAGCUCAGUGGUAGAGCACAUGCUUAGCAUGCAUAAGGUCCUGGGUUUGAUCCUCAG
rnacentral:tRNA from 1 species